rnacentral:rRNA from 1 species
AGUUUGAUCAUGGCUCAGAUUGAACGCUGGCGGCAUGCCUUACACAUGCAAGUCGAACGGCAGCAUGAUCUAGCUUGCUAGAUUGAUGGCGAGUAGCGAACGGGUGAGUAAUACAUCGGAACGUGCCCUGUAGUGGGGGAUAACUAGUCGAAAGAUUAGCUAAUACCGCAUACGACCUGAGGGUGAAAGUGGGGGACCGCAAGGCCUCAUGCUAUAGGAGCGGCCGAUGUCUGAUUAGCUAGUUGGUGAGGUAAAGGCUCACCAAGGCGACGAUCAGUAGCUGGUCUGAGAGGACGAUCAGCCACACUGGGACUGAGACACGGCCCAGACUCCUACGGGAGGCAGCAGUGGGGAAUUUUGGACAAUGGGGCAACCCUGAUCCAGCAAUGCCGCGUGUGUGAAGAAGGCCUUCGGGUUGUAAAGCACUUUUGUCCGGAAAGAAAUCGCACUUACUAAUAUUAGGUGUGGAUGACGGUACCGGAAGAAUAAGGACCGGCUAACUACGUGCCAGCAGCCGCGGUAAUACGUAGGGUCCAAGCGUUAAUCGGAAUUACUGGGCGUAAAGCGUGCGCAGGCGGUUGUGCAAGACCGAUGUGAAAUCCCCGGGCUUAACCUGGGAAUUGCAUUGGUGACUGCACGGCUAGAGUGUGUCAGAGGGGGGUAGAAUUCCACGUGUAGCAGUGAAAUGCGUAGAGAUGUGGANGGAUNCCGAUGGCGAAGNCAGCCCCCUGGGAUANCACUGACGCUCAUGCACGAAAGCGUGGGGAGCAAACAGGAUUUAGAUACCCUGGUAGUCCACGCUCUAAACGAUGUCAACUAGUUGUUGGGGAUUCAUUUCCUUAGUAACGUAGCUAACGCGUGAAGUUGACCGCCUGGGGAGUACGGUCGCAAGAUUAAAACUCAAAGGAAUUGACGGGGACCCGCACAAGCGGUGGAUGAUGUGGAUUAAUUCGAUGCAACGCGAAAAACCUUACCUACCCUUGACAUGCCACUAACGAAGCAGAGAUGCAUUAGGUGCUCGAAAGAGAAAGUGGACACAGGUGCUGCAUGGCUGUCGUCAGCUCGUGUCGUGAGAUGUUGGGUUAAGUCCCGCAACGAGCGCAACCCUUGUCUCUAGUUGCUACGAAAGGGCACUCUAGAGAGACUGCCGGUGACAAACCGGAGGAAGGUGGGGAUGACGUCAAGUCCUCAUGGCCCUUAUGGGUAGGGCUUCACACGUCAUACAAUGGUGCAUACAGAGGGUUGCCAAGCCGCGAGGUGGAGCUAAUCCCAGAAAAUGCAUCGUAGUCCGGAUCGUAGUCUGCAACUCGACUACGUGAAGCUGGAAUCGCUAGUAAUCGCGGAUCAGCAUGCCGCGGUGAAUACGUUCCCGGGUCUUGUACACACCGCCCGUCACACCAUGGGAGUGGGUUUUGCCAGAAGUAGUUAGCCUAACCGCAAGGGGG